GUGGGCUACGGCGACAAGGUGCCGAAGGGCCCGCUGGGCAUGGUGGUGGGCUCCGUGUGCGCGAUCGCGGGAGUGCUGACCCUGGCCAUCCCGGUGCCCAUCAUCACCGAGAAC
rfam:Macrostomum lignano uti_cns_0003009, whole genome shotgun sequence.